rnacentral:rRNA from 1 species
AUUGAACGCUGGCGGAAUGCUUUACACAUGCAAGUCGGGCGGCAGCGCGGGGGCAACCCUGGCGGCGAGCGGCGAACGGGUGAGUAACACAUCGGAACGUACCCUGUCGUGGGGGAUAACGAAUCGAAAGAUUCGCUAAUACCGCAUACGACCUGAGGGUGAAAGCGGGGGAUCGCAAGACCUCGCGCGAGAGGAGCGGCCGAUGGCGGAUUAGCUAGUUGGUGGGGUAAAGGCCCACCAAGGCGACGAUCCGUAGCGGGUCUGAGAGGACGGCCCGCCACACUGGGACUGAGACACGGCCCAGACUCCUACGGGAGGCAGCAGUGGGGAAUUUUGGACAAUGGGGGCAACCCUGAUCCAGCCAUUCCGCGUGAGUGAAGAAGGCCUCGGUUGUAAGACGUCUUUCGGUCGUAGGAACGAAACGGACGGGACGUCGUAACAUAGACCUGUCAAUGACGGUACCGUCGAAGAAGAAGACACCGG